GAUGAGCGCUGGCGGCGUGCCUAAUACAUGCAAGUCGAGCGAACGGACGAGAAGCUUGCUUCUCUGAUGUUAGCGGCGGACGGGUGAGUAACACGUGGAUAACCUACCUAUAAGACUGGGAUAACUUCGGGAAACCGGAGCUAAUACCGGAUGAUAUUUUGAACCGCAUGGUUCAAAAGUGAAAGACGGUCUUGCUGUCACUUAUAGAUGGAUCCGCGCUGCAUUAGCUAGUUGGUAAGGUAACGGCUUACCAAGGCAACGAUGCAUAGCCGACCUGAGAGGGUGUGACGGCCAAUUGGACUUGAGCCACGGCCCGGGCUGCUACGGGGGGAGGCCGAGGGGUAUCGUGCGAAGUGGGCCAAAUCCUGACAGAACACUGCCGCGGGAGUAAUGAAGGUGUUCGUAUCGUAAAACUCUGUUAUUAGGGAAGAACAUAGGUGUAAGUAACUGGGCACGUCCCGGCGGCACCUAAUAAGAACGCAACGGCUAACCCCGUC
rnacentral:rRNA from 1 species